CCUACGGGAGGCAGCAGUAAGGAAUAUUGGUCAAUGGAGGCAACUCUGAACCAGCCAUGCCGCGUGCAGGAAGACUGCCCUAUGGGUUGUAAACUGCUUUUAUCCGGGAAUAAACCUGCUUACGUGUAAGUAGCUGGAAUGUACCGGAAGAAUAAGGAUCGGCUAACUCCGUGCCAGCAGCCGCGGUAAUACGGAGGAUCCAAGCGUUAUCCGGAUUUAUGGGUUUAAAGGGUGCGUAGGCGGCCUGUUAAGUCAGGGGUGAAAGACGGUAGCUCAACUAUCGCAGUGCCCUUGAUACUGAUGGGCUUGAAUGGACUAGAGGUAGCGGAAUGAGACAAGUAGCGGUGAAAUGCAUAGAUAUGCCUCAGAACACCGAUUGCGAAGGCAGCUUACUAUGGUCUUAUUGACGCUGAGGCACGAAAGCGUGGGGAUCAAACAGGAUUAGAUACCCUGGUAGUCCACGCCCUAAACGAUGAACACUCGCUGUUGGCGAUACACAGUCNGCGNAGAGAGACGUAGUGUCGCGUGGAGACGCCGCGAGAGAGUACGAAGAGUAGAGNGNGAGAGNGCGACGGACGACGACGAGGGAGGAGG
rnacentral:rRNA from 1 species